rnacentral:rRNA from 1 species
GAGUUUGAUCCUGGCUCAGAAUGAACGUUGGCGGCGUGGAUUAGGCAUGCAAGUCGAGCGAGAAUCGUAGCAAUACGAGGACAGCGGCGCAAGGGACAGUAAUGUGUAGAUUAUCUGCCCUCAGGUCCGGGAUAGCUGCGGGAAACUGCAGGUAAUACCGGAUAACAUCUCCGGAUCAAAGGUGUGAUUCCGCCUGAGGAUGAGUCUGCAUCCUAUUAGCUAGUUGGCAGGGUAACGGCCUACCAAGGCAUUGAUGGGUAGCGGGUGUGAGAGCACGACCCGCGUCAUUGGGACUGAGACACUGCCCAGACACCUACGGGUGGCUGCAGUCGAGAAUCUUCGGCAAUGGGCGCAAGCCUGACCGAGCGACGCCGCGUGUGGGAUGAAGGCCUUCGGGUUGUAAACCACUGUCAGAGGGGAUGAAAUGCAGGUGGGUUCUCCCAUCUGUUUGACAUAGCCUCAGAGGAAGGACGGGCUAAGUUCGUGCCAGCAGCCGCGGUAAGACGAACCGUCCAAACGUUAUUCGGAAUUACUGGGCUUAAAGGGUGCGUAGGCGGCGCGGAAAGUUGGGUGUGAAAUCCCUCGGCUCAACCGAGGAACUGCGCCCAAUACUACCGUGCUUGAGGGAGAUAGAGGUGAGCGGAACUUAGGGUGGAGCGGUGAAAUGCGUUGAUAUCCUAAGGAACACCGGUGGCGAAAGCGGCUCACUGGAUCUCUUCUGACGCUGAGGCACGAAAGCUAGGGUAGCGAACGGGAUUAGAUACCCCGGUAGUCCUAGCCGUAAACGAUGAGCACUGGAUUGGAGGGUCCUCCAUAGCCUUCCAGUCGCAACGAAAGCGUUAAGU